UUUUUUUUUUUUUUUUUUUUUUGCUGGCAUAUUCGCCAGCAUAGAGUUAGUCAAGUAGGAAGUCAUGUAUGAUCCUAGAUCCUUUUGGCAAUUUUUGAGACUCUUCCUUUCACCUUUUAAGGAGGCAUGAUUAAUUCAGAGUGACAAACAAUCAAAGUGAACUGGUGAUGUUUAUUGAAAUCCUAAGCUGGGUCAGAAUGACCCUUGUCUAGUAGGAUGCAAGAUGGGUAAAUAAGAGCUUACUCACAACAUUUAGAGUGUGAAAAACAGUUGCUAUUCCCUGAUUUACUUGUGGUAUCACUGAUUGAAGCAGAAUGCUGGAUGCAAUGAUUCCUAAGUGGUUUUGAAUGCUUAUGGUUAGAGUAUUGGAUUAACUGGGCUCACUUUAUUGGACAAAUCUCCAUGUAAAUUAAAUAUAGGGAACAUGAUGUAAAUUAACUAGUUUCACUGAUCCAUGGUGCCAGAGUGAAUUCCGGUCCUCAUUUAGGAUGGGCUGACAUUCAUACCUUUGGUUAGAUGGAGGCUGGGAAGAGGGAGCAGAACACCAGAAGAAAUAUCUUCUUACAGUGAGGUUGGGGGGUGAAUAGGGGAAACCCCAGCUUUUCUUAUCAUGGGUCAGUAAAAUCAUUUUUGAAGGCAUCUGGUCAUUUCUUAUGCACUUGCAGCCAAUUUAGAGGAAAGUUGUAUUUUAUUUUGUUUAUUUUUUAUUUUAUUAUUUUUUUUUUGUCUUUUUGCCAUUUCUUGGGCUGCUCCCGCGGCUUAUGGAGUGUAGACCUGCAGCUGCAGCUCUGACUUGACCCCUGGCCCUGGAACUUCCGAUUGCCACAGGUAUGGCUGUAAAAAGAAAAAAUAAAUAAUAAUAAUAAUAAUAAUAAUAAUAAUAAUAACUUUAACAAUUCUCUGUGGAUCGAUAUCCUAGUCAGAAUACAACUUUGAGUUCACAGAUAUCCUUGUCUCCAUUGCAAUGUUGCACCAUGUUUCCUCCCUUCUGCACCAAAGGAACUUGAGAUUAACUGAGACUCCAGAGCCAUGCCCACUGGUGAGAAACAGACUUCAGGGCUUUUCAUGUGACUACUACCAUUACCUCUACUGCCAGUAAGAUCCUUUACUGUUCUGACUAGCUUCCCUGACUAGUACUUAACUUUUUUCCCUUCCCAUUAGCUCUCAUCAAGCUGUACUGUAGACCUGAUAUCCUGCCAAAGACUUGUGCAUCCCCUUCCUAUGAAAGGGCUCUGCACUUGUGCCUCCUGCACUCACUUGGCAGGGAAUCCUGCUGGCCAAGAACAGUUACCCUUGAACUAUACUUGCCACCUGCCAGAAUCACAGUAUUCAACACCAUGUUUUUCUGAGGCUGCACCUGCAAGUCUGGAUAACCAGGUCAGUACCAAGUGUUUCUGACACUAUCUAAGUGUCUCUUUUAGGCAUUGGGUAUUUAUGGGUAAUCAGUUUUACCCCAUGCAAGUCUUCAGCCUUUUUCCCACCACAUGAGGACCCAGCACUCUUUUUGCCUCGCGGAGUCUUAGCGAUUAUUGUAGCUAUGCACAUACAACAAGACUCUUC
rnacentral:lncRNA from 1 species